rnacentral:rRNA from 1 species
GACGAACGCUGGCGGCGCGCUUAACACAUGCAAGUCGAGCGAGAACCAAGCCUUCGGGCUUGGGGGCAGCGGCGAACGGGUGAGUAACACGUGGGUAAUCAACCCUUGACACUGGGAUAGCCCGGGGAAACCCGGAUUAAUACCGGAUACUCCAUCUGGCUUUCGGGCCGGCUGGAAAAGGUAGCUUCGGCCUCCGGUCAGGGACGAGCCCGCGGCGGAUUAGCUUGUUGGUGGGGGUAAAGGCCCACCAAGGCGACGANCCGUAGCUGGUCUGAGAGGACGAUCAGCCACACUGGGACUGAGACACGGCCCAGACUCCUACGGGAGGCAGCAGUGGGGAAUCUUGCGCAAUGGGCGAAAGCCUGACGCAGCGACGCCGCGUGGGUGAUGAAGGCC